rnacentral:rRNA from 1 species
GAGGAAAGAGGGAGGAGGGAGGAACACAGGAAAGUCGAACGGAAAGGCCCUGCUUGCCGGGUACUCGAGUGGCGAACGGGUGAGUAACACGUGGGUGAUAUGAUCUGUACUUUGGGAUAAGCCUGGGAAACUGGGUCUAAUACCGAAUAUGACAAUUGUUUGGAUGCGAUUGUGGAAAGCUUUUGCGGUAUGGGAUGAGCUCGCGGCCUAUCAGCUUGUUGGUGGGGUAAUGGCCUACCAAGGCGUCGACGGGUAGCCGGCCUGAGAGGGUGUACGGCCACAGUGGGACUGAGAUACGGCCCAGACUCCUACGGGAGGCAGCAGUGGGGAAUAUUGCACAAUGGGAGCAAGCCUGAUGCAGCGACGCCGCGUGGGGGAUGACGUCCUUCGGGUUGUAAACUCCUUUCGCAACCGACGAAGCCUUUUGGUGACGGUAGGUUGAGAAGAAGCACCGGCUAACUACGUC